rnacentral:tRNA from 2 species
GCCCGAAUGGUGGAAUUGGUAGACACGUCAGAUUUAAGCUCUGAUGCCCAGUAAUGGGCGUGUGGGUUCGAGUCCCACUUCGGGUA